UUUAAAGAGAGUUUGAUCCUGGCUCAGGACGAACGCUGGCGGCGUGCCUAAUACAUGCAAGUCGAACGAACGGAGGAAGAGCUUGCUCUUCCAAAGUUAGUGGCGGACGGGUGAGUAACACGUGGGCAACCUGCCUGUAAGUUGGGGAUAACUCCGGGAAACCGGGGCUAAUACCGAAUGAUAAAGUGUGGCGCAUGCCACGCUUUUGAAAGAUGGUUUCGGCUAUCGCUUACAGAUGGGCCCGCGGUGCAUUA
rnacentral:rRNA from 1 species